GAUGAAGAAGGUAGCGAAAUGCGAUACGUAAUGUGAAUUGCAAAUUCAGUGAAUCAUCGAGUCUUUGAACGCACAUUGCGCCCCCUGGUAUUCCGGGGGGCAUGCCUGUCCGAGCGUCAUUGCUGCCCUCAAGCACGGCUUGUGUGUUGGGCCCCGUCCUCCGAUCCCGGGGGACGGGCCCGAAAGGCAGCGGCGGCACCGCGUCCGGUCCUCGAGCGUAUGGGGCUUUGUCACCCGCUCUGUAGGCCCGGCCGGCGCUUGCCGAUCAACCCAAAUUUUUUAUCCAGGUUGACCUCGGAUCAGGUAGGGAUACCCGCUGAACUUAAGCAUAUCAAUAAGCGGAGGA
rnacentral:misc_RNA from 1 species